rnacentral:lncRNA from 1 species
UAAUAAAACAAAAGUGAAAGAAAACCAUUUUAUUAUUUUAUCAUCUUCCCCAUUUCUCCUUCCACCGAAAUUGAAAUGGAAAGAAACACCAUAGCUAAAGCUUGGUUCAGCCAUUGAUAUUUUCUUGCAUGGUAAGUCAUUUUUCACCCAUUUCUCAUAAUUUUUAUAUUUUUAAGAUCAUUACAACUAGGUCCAACUAAUCCGUAUCUUCAUUUUCGAAACUGUUAAAGUUUAAUAAAAUCACUAUUGAUAAUUUUGGAUGUUCUUGAUAUUGAAUGGAAGAUUUUGAAGCUUGGAAAUGUUUUAGGAUUAUUUUGUUAAGUGUUUUUGGUUAGUUUUAAGUUUAAGGACUAAAUUGAUAAAAUAAUAAGUUUAGCAUGAAAUUAUUGUGAAAUUUCAACAAUUAUGGGCUGUAUAUGUAUAAUUAAAAAUUUGGCUAGUUUGGUUUUGGGUUUAAUUGUGAUAAUUGUAAAAGUUUCGGGUUUAGGACUAAAUUGAACAAAAGGUAAAGUUUAGGGUAAAAGUGUAAAAUGUUGAUAAAUGAUUAUAUAUGUGAAUUUAAGUGUUUUAAAGUAUUUUAAUUGAUUAAUUGAAUGAAAAUAUUAUAUUUAGAUCAAGAGACAGAUUAGUUGGUUGAUAAUCGCGAGAAAGAAAAAAUCAUUAAGUAGUCGUCGUUGAAGUGUUCGUAGUUAUUGUAUUUAGGUAAGUUCAUAUGGUAUUUUAGUAAUGUUAUUAUUAAAAAUUUUGUAAUUUGAUGACAUUGGUUAUAUCUGAAAUAUUACGAUUGAAUUGGUGAGAAAAUAGAUUGAAAUGUAAACUGUUAUACGAUUACAUGUAUCGAGCCCAGAUGAACAUAGGAUACGAUACAAUUGGUAUGCUAAUAGGUUAUAUUGCGCGCUGUAUGGGAUUGACUUGUGAUGAAAUGAUGAUUCUUGACUUGUUAUUAUUCACUGAAUCUACCAGAGUCCAGCAUUUGUUGCAAACUAUCAUGUUAUAUUUACAAUGAUUCUGGCGUGUUACCGGGGGUGGGUGUUAGCCUACGAGCUUGGCACUUGGUGCCCAGGCAUGUUUUUGGUUGGUUUGGCUCAUUUGAGAUUUUUUGCAUGUCUUGGAUGGAUAACCACAUAUUCGUAUCUGUUUAUAUCAUUCAUCAGGCAGAUUUUCAAUGGUUAAAUGAUUUGCUAAUGAAUUAUAUAAAUGUUUACAUGAUUUCUGAUAUUAUUUUGUGACUUGGUAUUGAAUGAUCUUGUAUAAUUGGUUAUAUUAUGCAACUUGUGUAUAUAAAACUCACUUGUUGAAUGAUUGUGGUUGACAAGAUUAAUGUUUAUUAACAUUGUGUUAAAUGUAUAAAAUGAAACGGGUAUAUAAAACAGUUAUAUGGAAUGAGAGACUGAUAUGAAUUAUUUAAACGAAAUGUAAUUUAUAAAAUGAUUUUGAUUGUGGUUGACAGGAUUAAUGUUUAUUAACAUUGUGUUAAAUGUAUAAAAUGAAACGGGUAUAUAAAAUAGUUAUAUAGAAUAAGAGACUGAUAUGAAUUAUUUAAACAAAAUGUAAUUUACAAAAUGAUUUUGUGUUAAAUGUGUAAUAUGAAAUGGUUAUAUGAGACGAUUAUACGAAAUGGUUAUAUAAAAUGAAUAUAUGAAAUGAUUAUAUGAAUUGGUUAUAUGGAAAUAGAUAUACUAAAUGAUUAUAUGAAUUGGUUAUAUGGAAAUAAUUAUAAAGUGUUUAUACGAAAUGUUUAUAUAGAUAGAUAUGUAAAAAGGCACAUUUGAAAUUAAUACUUGAAAUGUAAAUGUGAAAUGUUAAAUGAAUAGAUGUUGAAUGAAAUGUAUACCUAAUGUGUUUACUUGUAUAUGUUUUAUAACAUGAUAAGGUUAUAAGUUUCAUAUAUGUGAACUCACUAACCUUGUGAGACUUGUGAUAUUUAUAGGUUAAUAACGAUCUUAUGACCUUGCUUAUGAAUUUAAUUGCAAAUUGUUUAAGUUGCAACCUUUAUGGUAAGUUAAAGCUUAAGUUUAAUACAAACUUACUAAGCAAAGAUUUGCUUACAUCCCUUGUGUUUGAUUUCUUAUAGAUCAUCGAAAGUUUAUGUCGAUUGGAAGUUCAAGUCGGAGCUCACACUAUACGUUCAACGACUCGGUAUAAAUCGUGAUUAUUUUGAUCUAGGUUAUAAGUGGCAUGUACUAGGAGUUUAAGUUCACUUGUUAUUAGACAUGUUGGUUCAUGCUUUAUUAUGUGAUGUUGUGGUUGUGUUUAUUUGGCUCUUUUGGUAUUUUGGCCAUAUGUAUAUAAGUGGUAUGAUUCAUGCAUUUGAAAGUUUGGUUUUGAUUGUGAUUUAAAGUUAUGAAAUGCUUGAUAGAUACAUGUUUUGUGAUUUGGGAAAUGAUGUAUGUGAAUUGGAUUUUAAAUGUUUGAAUUGUGGUACCAAUGACGGUACAUUGGUUAGGCAUUUAGGUUGAAUGUGAAUUGACAUAAUUUUGGCAUGUUUUGAUGUGUUUUGAAUAGGUAUAAUUGAAUGGAAAUAGUAUGGUUUGGAACCUAAGAUAUGGAUGUUGAAAUAACUUGGUUUUGAAGUCAUUUUAGGUACACACAGCCUAGGACACGAUCUGUGUAACAAGCCAUUUUUUAGUGGUGUCGAAAACAAUAGUUUUGGGACCACAAAUUUGAUGAAUGAGUUUGUAUAAUUAGUAUUUAAAUAAUAUGAGUCAAAAAUAUUUUUUAUAUUGAAUUCUGAUUUGAGGAAUUUUAACUAACUAAAUUAAAAGUUAGUAUAAGUGGUUCGAUUUAAAAGUCAAGUGAUAAUUGAAAACGAGGUAUUAGGCCUCGUUUCCAUAAUUUAAUGCCGUAAAUAUUUUUAUUAAAUAUUUAUAGAGUCGUAUUAUAUGUGAAUUGAAGUAUGGUCUGGUAAUGUUGAUGAUUUAUUGUUCAAUUAUCGUAAAAAGGAUUAAAUUGUAAAAGAGGUAAAAAUUAAUUACUUUUGAUUUAAAAAUAGUAAAGGGACCAAAAUGGUAAUUAAACCAUGAUCAAAAGUCCAAGCGGUGGUGACAUGAUUAAAUCCACUAACUUUUGGGCUAUUUGCUCAUUUAGUCCUAAUUAGUUUAGGAUUAACUUGAAAUUAAGCUUGUUUAGUUAAAUUUUAAAAUAAUUGAAGGACCAAUUGUGCAAUGAAACCCUCCUUAAAUGGCCAAACGGUAGAAAUGGUUUGAAAUUUUCUAGUUUUGUAGUUAAUUGCUAUUAGAUCCUUAUUGAUUAGUAAUUAAAAAAAGGACUAAGUCAUAAAAAUUGUAAAAGUCAAUCACUAUUAGUUUAAAAGGUUUAAUAGGGGGACUAAAAAUGGUAUUUAACCCAUAAUUAAAUAUGAUGAGCGGUGGAAUUUGUUUUUAGUGUAAAAAUAUGUUAAUUUUAUAUUUUAAAGAAUAAAUAAAUUAAGUUAAAAGGAGAAAAAGAAAAGAAAUACAAAUGAUUACUUAGGUUCUUCUUCCCCAAACCGAAACCACCAUUUUUGAGACAUGGGAGGUUCGACCAAGUUUAGGCCUGUCGAUUUGGUGUAAAUUCCGUCCGUUUUUAGUACUUUUUAUAUUUUUGAGCUCGUAUUAGUUUAAUCUAGUUACUUGAGGACUAAUUUGUAAUACUUUCAAAUGUUUUGGAUUAUAUCAUUGAUGAUUUUAGUAUAUUAUUGAAGUUUUAUGAUAGAUUAUUAAGCUUAGUUGUUAAAUAGGACUAUUUUGUAAAGUAAUUUUUGUUAAUUUUAAUAUACAUGACUAAAAUGUGAAAGUGAUAAAAUUGCAAAGACUUGUUGUGAAAUAAUAGCAAGUAGGGGCUGUAGGGAGGUAUUGAAUAAUUCGGCUGAAAUUAAUUGUGGUUAAAAAUGGUUAAAUUGCAAGUUUUGAGCUUAAAGAUUAAAUUGCAUAAAAAUAAAAUAUUGGGGGUAAUUUCGUAAAAAAAUUUAAAAGAACUUAAUUGCCUAAAUGAGUUGGUUUUGAUGUUGGAAUUAGUGAAUCGAAUGAAAUUAUUAUUUUAGAUCAAGAACGAGUGGAAAACUAAGGAAAAGAGAAAAUUACCGAAUAGUCUCUGUACAUUUGUCAUUGUUGUAAUUUAGUCAAGUAAGUUCGUACGUUAUUUAUACUUCUAAUGAUUCUUAUAUUAUAUGAUAAUAUAUUUUUUAAAAUGUUAUAUUGUAUAAUAGUAUGCCCUUAAAAAUGAAAAAUGGAAUAUUGAUUAUACUGAAUGCUUGCUCAAACGAGCAUUAUGCACUAAUUAUACUAAAUGCUUGCUUAAACGAGUAUUAUCCACUAAUUAUACUGAAUGCUUGCUCAAACAAGCAUUAUCCACUGAUUAUACUGAAUGCUUGCUCAAACGAGUAAUAUUCACUGAUUAUACUAAAUGCUUGCUCAAACGAGCAUUAUCCACUGGUUAUACUAAAUAAGAUUUUCUAUACCGAUGAUUGGACACGAGCACUGAAAUAAUGUUCCGAAUAUUAUUCAUCUGAUGGAAGUUGUGAUUGUUAGGAAUUUCAUUGUCUAAAUAAAAAGUCUAAUUUAUCAUGUUUAAGUGGGUAAAAUUUUAUUGAUUAUUCACAUGAACUUACUAAAGCUUUGUGUAAGCUUACCAAUAUUUGGUUCAUUUUUGUAGAUUACGUUUUUGUGGACUCAGAAGAUCAGAUCAACACAAGAAAUCACACUAUCCGGGAAUCUUUGGUAGACUUUGAUUUUGGUUUGAUAUAUAUGACAUGUAAUAGGACCCUUUUGGAUAUGUUGUAUUAGUACUUAGUUUUGUGAAAGUUUACACUUUAUCUUGUGUUGUUAUGUUUGAUUAACUGUGGAAAUAUGCAUGCUUUGUUUAAGUUGAAUUAUGGUAUGAAAUGAAAAGUUCCGACUUGUAAG